rnacentral:rRNA from 1 species
UACGUAGGGUGCAAGCGUUGUCCGGAAUUAUUGGGCGUAAAGAGCUCGUAGGCGGUUUGUCGCGUCUGCUGUGAAAACUGGAGGCUCAACCUCCAGCCUGCAGUGGGUACGGGCAAACUAGAGUGCGGUAGGGGAGAUUGGAAUUCCUGGUGUAGCGGUGGAAUGCGCAGAUAUCAGGAGGAACACCGAUGGCGAAGGCGGGGAUCUGCC